CAAGUACUCCCUCUGUCCGGAAUUACUUGUCAUCAAAAUGGAUGUGUCUAGAACUAAAAUACAUCUAGAUACAUCCAUUUCAAUGACAAGUAUUUUUGGAUGGAGGGAGUACGAG
rnacentral:pre_miRNA from 1 species